UCCAGAGGGUGCAAGCGUUGUUCGGAUUCACUGGGCGUAAAGGGUGCGUAGGCGGUCGGGUAAGUCUGACGUGAAAUCUCCAAGCCUAACUUGGAAACUGCGUUGGAUACUAUCCGGCUUGAGGAAUGGAGGGGAGACUGGAAUACUUGGUGUAGCAGUGAAAUGCGUAGAUAUCAAGUGGAACACCAGUGGCGAAGGCGAGUCUCUGGACAUUUCCUGACGCUGAGGCACGAAAGCCAGGGGAGCAAACGGG
rnacentral:rRNA from 1 species